GAUGAACGAUGGCGGCGUGCCUAAUACAUGCAAGUCGAGCGAACGGACGAGAAGCUUGCUUCUCUGAUGUUAGCGGCAGACGGGUGAGUAACACGUGGAUAACCUACCUAUAAGACUGGGAUAACUUCGGGAAACCGGAGCUAAUACCGGAUAAUAUUUUGAACCGCAUGGUUCAAAAGUGAAAGACGGUCUUGCUGUCACUUAUAGAUGGAUCCGCGCUGCAUUAGCUAGUUGGUAAGGUAACGGCUUACCAAGGCAACGAUGCGUAGCCGACCUGAGAGGGUGAUCGGCCACACUGGAACUGAGACACGGUCCAGACUCCUACGGGGGGCAGCAGUAGGGAAUCUUCCGCAAUGGGCGAAAGCCUGACGGAGCAACGCCGCGUGAGUGAUGAAGGUCUUCGGAUCGUAAAACUCUGUUAUUAGGGAAGAACAUAUGUGUAAGUAACUGUGCACAUCUUGACGGUACCUAAUCAGAAAGCCACGGCUAACUACGUG
rnacentral:rRNA from 1 species